UACGGGGGGGGGCAAGCGUUGUUCGGAAUUACUGGGCGUAAAGGGCUCGUAGGUGGUCAACUAAGUCAUACGUGAAAUCCCUCGGCUUAACCGGGGAACUGCGCCUGAUACUGGUUGACUUGAGUUUGGGAGAGGGACGCGGAAUUCCAGGUGUAGCGGUGAAAUGCGUAGAUAUCUGGAGGAACACCGGUGGCGAAGGCGGCAUCCUGGACCGACACUGACACUGAGGAGCGAAAGCCAGGGGAGCAAACGGG
rnacentral:rRNA from 1 species